rnacentral:rRNA from 1 species
UACGAGGGGGGCGAGCGUUGUUCGGAAUUAUUGGGCGUAAAGGGUGCGUAGGCGGUUUGGUAAGUCUGAUGUGAAAUCUAUGGGCUCAACUCAUAGUCUGCAUCGGAAACUGCCGGGCUUGAGUGUGGGAGAGGUGAGUGGAAUUCCUGGUGUAGCGGUGAAAUGCGUAGAUAUCAGGAGGAACACCUGUGGCGAAAGCGGCUCACUGGACCAUAACUGACGCUGAUGCACGAAAGCGUGGGGAGCGAACCGG